ensembl:rRNA 5S_rRNA 5S ribosomal RNA
GUCUACGGCCAUACCACCCUGAACACUCCCGAUCUCGUCAGAUCUCGGAAGCUAAGCAGGGUUGGGCCUGGUUAGUACUUGGAUGGGAGAAAUCCAACUACAAGGGAGA